rnacentral:pre_miRNA from 8 species
UUUAAAUGCAAAUAUUUGUCUUGCUGUUUUCGGGUGGAUGACUCUGCAAUUUUAUUAGUGAUGGAAAAACUUCAAUAAAAAUUGCACGGUAUCCAUCUGUAAUCCGCUGGAUUCCAUUACCUGCGUUUGUU